AAUCUCAAACGGUGUCGCCAGCCGUAUCCUUGAUCCAGCUUGGAAGUGUAUUAAAUAUUCCAGCAUGUCUAACGCGAUGAGAUGCUGGAAUAUUAAGUUCCUAAUUUAUGACAGCAAUGAUCGGAGAGACACAGGGAAUCCUGGGUGAUGAUGCGAAGCAAUCUCUUCUACCAUUGCUUUGCAACUCUCAAUUCAGCUGGCUCCUUGGGCUGUUAGGCUUAUAUUUUAUUCAUGUAAAAGUCAGAGUCUCCUCUGAAGGUUUCAAUCUUUGCCUUCUGGGCAUCAAAUUUAUCAAGAACUCGUCUCUCUCAUAGAAAGCCAUUCAAUUGUUUCUUUCUUUCUUAUUCUUAUAUAUCCUACCUUCUGGUUGGUGCAGUUCUUCGUUGACACACCAGAUCGAGGAAGAUAACAAGGGCUACAAACAUACACACAAGAAGGUCAUGGGGCAUCACCAUCACCACCACCACCAUCAUCAUGAAGAUAGCCCAUAUGAUGAUCCCUUGUUGGCUUGCUGUUACUGCCCUUGCUUGCUAGUUUCUUCCAUGCUGAGAGGAUUUGGGAGAUGUAUAUUUGCAGCUUGUUACCCUCUCUUGCGUUGCUUUGGAUUGGAUGACCACCACCACCACCACCACCACCACCACCACCAUUCCUUUUGAUCAUUGCUUGAUAGUUUGUUUCUUUCGUUUUGUAGUUUUACAGUCAAAUCGAUUGGAUAAAAAAGGAAUUAAUUCAAAGUGAGAUGUUGAAUU